CGUAGGCGGCCCUAUAAGUCAGAUGUGAAAGCCCGGGGCUUAACCCCGGAAGUGCAUUUGAAACUAUUGGGCUUGAGUAUGGGAGAGGGAAGUGGAAUUCCUGGUGUAGAGGUGAAAUUCGUAGAUAUCAGGAGGAACAUCGGUGGCGAAGGCGACUUCCUGGACCAAUACUGACGCUGAGGCGCGAAGGCGUGGGGAGCAAACA
rnacentral:rRNA from 1 species